AAUGCUGGGAAAAAGGAGGAAGAUCCUCUGAAGGACAUAAAGGAUCCAAAGCAAUUCUUAGUUGCUUCACUAGCAAAUCUUUCUGCUCAAACCCCUGGGAGGUAUCCCCAGAUAAUUAGUGAAAAUCUUGACCCAGCUAAUCAAACAGCAUUAUUACAGUUUUGUACUACUUACAAUUGCCCAAUUGUUUGAGUAAGUAGCUACUUAUAUAGCAGCCAUUAUCUCUGUUUAUUGUGCUUUUUUU
rnacentral:misc_RNA from 1 species